GUACCACGAGACACGUGAAACCUUGUGGGAAGCAGGGAGGACCACCUCCCAAGGCUAAAUACUACCUAGUGACCGAUAGUGAAGCAGUACCGUGAGGGAAAGGUGAAAAGAACCCCGGGAGGGGAGUGAAAUAGAACCUGAAACCGUGUGCCUACAACCGAUCGGAGCACGUUAAAGUGUGACGAUGUGCUUUUUGUAUAACGAGCCAGCGAGUUACGCUAUGUAGCAAGGUUAAGUACUUAAGGUAUGGAGCCGAAGGGAAACCGAGUCUGAAAAGGGCGAAAAGUUGCAUGGUGUAGACCCGAAACCGGGUGACCUAUCCAUGGCCAGGUUGAAGCGAGAGUAAAAUCUCGUGGAGGAACGAACCACGUUGGUGUUGAAAAACCAUGGGAUGAGCUGUGGAUAGCGGAGAAAUUCCAAUCGAACUCGGAGAUAGCUGGUUCUCCCCGAAAUAGCUUUAGGGCUAGCGUCGUGUAAUUGAGUAAUGGAGGUAGAGCACUGAAUGGGCUAGGGGCUAUAGUAGUUACCGAACCCUAUCAAACUCCGAAUGCCAUAUACUUGUAUCACGGCAGUCAGACUGCGAAUGAUAAGAUCCGUAGUCAAAAGGGAAACAGCCCAGACCAUCAGCUAAGGUC
rnacentral:ncRNA from 1 species